rnacentral:rRNA from 1 species
UACGAAGGGAGCUAGCGUUGUUCGGAAUUACUGGGCGUAAAGGGCGCGUAGGCGGUUAUCUAAGUCAGAUGUGAAAGCCUUGGGCUUAACCUGAGAACUGCAUUUGAUACUGGAUAACUUGAGAUCGAGAGAGGAAAGUGGAAUUACGAGUGUAGAGGUGAAAUUCGUAGAUAUUCGUAAGAACACCAGUGGCGAAGGCGACUUUCUGGCUCGAUACUGACGCUAAGGCGCGAAAGCGUGGGGAGCAAACAGG